AACGAACGCUGGCGGCAUGCCUAACACAUGCAAGUCGAACGAGACCUUCGGGUCUAGUGGCGCACGGGUGCGUAACGCGUGGGAACCUGCCCUUAGGUUCGGAAUAACUCCCCGAAAGGGGUGCUAAUACCGGAUAAUGUCUUCGGACCAAAGAUUUAUCGCCUUUGGAUGGGCCCGCGUUGGAUUAGCUAGUUGGUAGGGUAAAAGCCUACCAAGGCGACGAUCCAUAGCUGGUCUGAGAGGAUGAUCAGCCACACUGGGACUGAGACACGGCCCAGACUCCUAAGGGAGGGAGGAAGGGGGGAAAAUGGAAAAAGGGGGGAAGGCUGAACCAACAAAGGCGGGGGAGGGAUGAAGGGCUUAAGGGUGGAAAGGUCCUUUAACCGGGAAGAUAAUGACAGUACCGGGAGAAUAAGCGCCGGCUAACUCCGUG
rnacentral:rRNA from 1 species